AUGAUUGCCUGGAAGAAAGAGCCCCAAGACCACCACAAAAGCUGCCCCGCGCGUGUUGCUCUCCACCUGAAUGAGGAGGGCACACCAGCGGCGAACACACAGGCGAGGUGUCAAGCAGGUAGCGCUCUGCCUCAACACUUAAGUUGCCUUAAAACACAGGGCAUUCAAAGCUACAAGGGGAUAACCAACGCAUUUAUCGAUCCCGAUGCCCGCACCUUAGAUUUACCGCUGAUUAAACCCAUCAGCAUCACCAGGGCAGCACCCAGCCACAGCAACACCCCGCCAGCUCCCUCUCCCCGCCAUACAGGGUCUGCUCUUCCCCAUCUCACCCUCACCAGCCGGUCUCCCCCUCUCCUUCCCAAUUCCCAACCCAACAACAUCUCCACGGCCGCUCCCUCACUCCGCACACCCAGAGGAGGGGAUGGGGGGGGGGGGGGGCACACCGCAAAGCGGCCACCCCCGCACAAAACCUGCCCCCCUCCACCUCAGGGUGCCCCCACACACCCAAGGGUGCCCCUUCUACACCCGAGGGUGCCCCGUUUCACCCGAGGGUGCCUCCUUUUUUCCUCCCACCCCCCCGCACUGAGCCGGGCCCGGCUCCCGCUGUCUCCACCGCAGCAGCAGCAGCAGCGGCGGCGCCGGGGCCUGGCGGGGGGGAGCCGGCAGCACGGGCAGCGGGGUGGGGGCGCUGGGACGGCUCAGCCCGGCUCCGCACCCCCUUCCCCAGCCCAGCACAGCACCAACACCAACCUGCCUCCCUCCUCCUCCUCCUCCUUCUCCUCGGGAAGCUCCAGCCCCCGGGCUUGGGCGCUGAGUGCCGGGGACGAGCGGGGCCGGGCGGCUGCGGGAGCCUGGGCUCAUGGAGCGCCGCAGCCCCUGAUGCUGCUGCUGCUGCCUCUGCCUCCUCCUCCUCCUCCUCCACCGCCACCACCACUGCUCCCCGCAGCCGCUACUUCCUGUGCGGCGCCCGUUCAGUUCCUCCCGGGCCGCUGGGGGCAGCAGGAGGAGGAGGAGGAGGAGGAGGAGGAGAAGGAGGAGGAGGAGGAGGAGGAGGAGGUGGAGGAAGGUCGGGGCAAGGCAGCGGGGGCGGCCGCCAGGGGGAGCGCCCCCCGCGCCGGGAGCCAUGAGGGGAGGAGAGAGGAGCGCGGGGCCCGGGAAGGAACGGCCCCGGCUGCGAAUUGA
rnacentral:lncRNA from 1 species